CAACGCCGGAAAUCUCACCGGGGCGACAGCAAUAUGAAGGUCAGGCUGAAGACCUUACCCGAUUAGCUGAGAGGUGGUGCAUGGCCGUCGUCAGUUCGUACUGUGAAGCAUCCUGUUAAGUCAGGCAACGAGCGAGACCCACGUCCACAGUUGCCAGCAUACCCUCCGGGGUGAUGGGUACACUGUGGAGACCGCCGCUGCUAAAGCGGAGGAAGGAGUGGGCAACGGUAGGUCAGUAUGCCCCGAAUCUCCCGGGCUACACGCGGGCUACAAUGGUUGGUACAAUGGGCAUCUACCCCGAAAGGGGAAGGAAAUCUCUUAAAGCCAAUCGUAGUUCGGAUUGAGGGCUGCAACUCGCCCUCAUGAAGCUGGAAUCCGUAGUAAUCGCGUUUCAACAGAACGCGGUGAAUACGUCCCUGCUCCUU
rnacentral:rRNA from 1 species